rnacentral:ncRNA from 10 species
ACAUGUACGCAACGGCUUCCUGGCGCGUGAACCGUAAUUAUUGGAGCA